ensembl:lncRNA
UUUACAUGUUAUUAUGUAUUUCUUAUAACUUUUCUCUGCCUCUUUUUUUCUGUUUUCACGCUCUGGACUGGAUCAUCCUUCAUUGGCUGCUGAUGUCGUUGGAAAUGACCCGGUGUGAUUUGUGAUGGCAGCAGAGAGUCGGAUGAGGAAAUGGGGAACAGGUGGCCACUGGCUUGAGCUGUGGAUUAACAACAUGCCAACAGAAAAACAACACACACACAACCCCACGCACUCAUUAUUCAUCCCAGGAGGGCACACUGAAACUCAAAAACACCCAGCGGAGGAGAGCAC